ACAAAGAUAAGUCUUCGGAAAUUUUGUUUUAAAUUUUGAAAUUUUUGUUUUUAAUAUUUUCUUGGGGAUGGAUUUUAUGAAAUUUUCAUACUAUUUUUAUUUUUUAAAAUUACUCCGAAGUUAACAGGGUUGUAGACAUAUAAAUAGGUUUUUAUAUUAUUAUGCUGCGCUACAUCGAUGUUGUAUAUUUUUUUUGGAAAUGGAGAGAAUUUUUUUUUUUUGAGACUGUUCUUCUUAUAUAAAAAAUUGACUUGAUAUUAAUUUAGUUCGCCG
rnacentral:rRNA from 1 species